rnacentral:rRNA from 1 species
GACGUAGGGCGCGAGCGUUGUCCGGAUUUAUUGGGCGUAAAGAGCUCGUAGGCGGCUUGUCGCGUCGACUGUGAAAUCCCGCGGCUCAACCGCGGGUCUGCAGUCGAUACGGGCAGGCUAGAGUUCGGUAGGGGAGACUGGAAUUCCUGGUGUAGCAGUGAAAUGCGCAGAUAUCAGGAGGAACACCGAUGGCGAAGGCAGGUCUCUGGGCCGAUACUGACGCUGA